rnacentral:hammerhead_ribozyme from 1 species
AUCUAGCUGACGAGUCCCAAAUAGGAUGAAACGGGUGUUCUGCGU